CCGUUUUUCCUUUCCGUUGCAUCCGUAUUCGUAAAGCCCCUUUUUUAAGGGGCUUUUUUUUUGCCCAGG
rnacentral:sRNA from 1 species